GCCCUAGUAGCUCAGCUCCAGAGCGCCGGUCUUGUAAUCCGGAGGUCGGAGGUUAAAUUCCUCCCUAGUGCU
rnacentral:tRNA from 1 species